ensembl:lncRNA
AGAAUACUGGAGUGGGUUGCCAUUCCCUUCUCCAGGGGAAUCCUCCCAACCCAGGGAUCUCGUGUCUCCUGUACUGGCAGGCGGAUUGACCGGGCUGCCCCCUGGGAAGCCUACUUCAAUGUCUAGACUUAUGUAGACACACGUCUCGGAUGCACAGGGAUUCUUUAAUAUCGUCAGCUGUUCCUCGGAGGCCCCCUGCCCUGUUGUGGCUGUCUCGUCCCUGUAGGGCGGGGAUGGGAAAGGAAGUCAGGAGUCACGCCCAGCAGCACUGUGGGUGCUAAGCACUUCCCCUGCUCAUAUUGUCUGCAAGCUCAGAUGUCCUGUCUGUCAGUCUGUCCAUCUGUGCGGCACUGGAGGGUGUGGAAGAGCCGUCCUCCCGUGGAGGUCAGCAGAGGACAAAGGGAAAGUGGUUUCCCGCCAGGGGUCACUGAGAUGCUCCAUGACCUGGCCUGGGUCCUGAGAACUGAGAGGGUGGGUUGUUGGGUCAGCCAGAGGACAGUGUUGCAGGGGGUUGCUCAUGACGAAGCGUCUCUGCUCCUGGGAAAAAGCUGGAUGACAUCCUAAGACAUGCAUUAGAUUCUCCACCCUGGUCGGGCAUGUGUACCUCCUGGGUGCACCUGAGGGUGCGUGAUUCCAGCAUCCCAGGACAGCCUCCUGUUCCCACAUCUCAGUGAGGCUGGGAAACCCCAGGACGGGCUGAGUGUAGAGGUUCCAAGGAGGAGCUCUGUUGGCUGGCUGAUCUCUCUGUGGGGUUCCACUAGGCUAUGCUGAGGUGAGUUGCACCCAACUUCUGGGCUUGGUGUUUCUUUAAGAUCCUUUCCUGGGAAAACAGAAGAAGAAAAUGGAAACCAUGGUUGCAAGUUCCCUCAGCCUGGGAUGAUAGGAAUUAAACAAAACCCAUCCUCAGCGUAAACACUGUCAUUACAGGGGAUCGCAGGACCGGGCUAGCCGCAGCCCCACCCAGGGUUCAGCCAUGGCCGUCCCCCAGCAAGUGACCACAAAGCUUCCCGCAGGCAGGG